UCCCUGGUGAUCCAGUGGUUGGGACUCUGCACUUCCAAUGCAAAAGGUGUAGGUUCAAUCCCUGGUCAGGGAA
rnacentral:tRNA from 1 species